CCUACGGGUGGCAGCAGUGGGUAAUAUUGGACAAUGGGGUGAACCCUGAUCCAGCCAUGCCGCGUGUGUGAAGAAGGCCCUCGGGUUGUAAAGCACUUUCAGUGAGGAAGAACGCCUGGUGGUUAAUACCCAUCAGGAAAGACAUCACUCACAGAAGAAGCACCGGCUAACUCCGUUCCAGCAGCCGCGGUAAUACGGAGGGUGCGAGCGUUAAUCGGAAUUACUGGGCGUAAAGCGCGCGUAGGUGGCUUGAUAAGCCGGUUGUGAAAGCCCCGGGCUCAACCUGGGAACGGCAUCCGGAACUGUCAAGCUAGAGUGCAGGAGAGGAAGGUAGAAUUCCCGGUGUAGCGGUGAAAUGCGUAGAGAUCGGGAGGAAUACCAGUGGCGAAGGCGGCCUUCUGGACUGACACUGACACUGAGGUGCGAAAGCGUGGGUAGCAAACAGGAUUAGAUACCCGAGUAGUC
rnacentral:rRNA from 1 species